rnacentral:rRNA from 1 species
UACGUAGGGUGCAAGCGUUAUCCGGAAUUAUUGGGCGUAAAGAGCUCGUAGGCGGUUUGUCGCGUCUGCUGUGAAAACUGGAGGCUCAACCUCCAGCCUGCAGUGGGUACGGGCAGACUAGAGUGCGGUAGGGGAGAUUGGAAUUCCUGGUGUAGCGGUGGAAUGCGCAGAUAUCGAGGAGGAACACCGAUGGCGAAGGCAGAUCUCUGGGCCGUAACUGACGCUGAGGAGCGAAAGCAUGGGGAGCGAACAGG